CCUACGGGUGGCAGCAGUGGGGAAUAUUGGGCAAUGGGCGCAAGCCUGACCCAGCAACGCCGCGUGAAGGAAGAAGGCUUUCGGGUUGUAAACUUCUUUUCUGAGGGACGAAGAAAGUGACGGUACCUCAGGAAUACGCCACGGCUAACUACGUGCCAGCAGCCGCGGCAAUACGGAGGUGGCAAGCGUUAUCCGGAUUUGUUGGGGGUAAAGGGCGUGUAGGCGGGAAAGCAAGUCAGAUGUGAAAACUCAGGGCUCAACCCUGAACCUGCAGUUGAAACUGGUUUUCUUGAGUGCUGGAGAGGCAAUCGGAAUUCCGGGUGUAGCGGUGAAAUGCGUAGAUAUACGGAAGAACACCAGUGGCGAAGGCGGAUUGCUGGACAGUAACUGACGCUGAGGCGCGAAAGCGUGGGGAGCAAACAGGAUUAGAUACCCGGGUAGUC
rnacentral:rRNA from 1 species